GAGGAGGUGCCAUGUUAUUCUCAGCGCUCCAAUAGGAUUAACCACACUAUGUAACUGUAUAAAGUGUAAUUAAUUGCACUCUGUGCACAAAGAUAAUCUUCGUGAUGGCACAGUGGUAAUCUGAGACGCUAAUGACCCUUCAGCAGCUGAGGAGUCUAUUUGGUGCCCAAAUCCACGAGAUACCGAUCUGAUAGAACAUUCUCGAUCGUGUUCUUUACCCUAUUUGGAUGUCGCAAGCUAUUCGACUUUUGAUUGGUGCAAGUGGCGGACAAAAAGAACUUAAAAAGGGAACUAUGUGUUGCUGGGAAUAAUAGCCAAUCAUGCCGGUUCAUGAGGCUCAUGAGACAACGUCCGAUUUCGUCAAGGUUACACUGUUGAUUGCCGUUAUUCAGACCAUGGAAGCAAUGUUCCCAAAUAAGGGAGACAAUCAGAAGAUAUUUAUGACAGAGCAAUAAUAUUAAAACAACAUACCCAAGGAUGAAAUGAAAAGGUUUUGUACUCCCUUUGUAAUACACAUUUUUCCUCAGUUAACUUUAGUUAAAACAGCAGCAAGUUAAUAAGCACAAUUUCAGAUGUGACAUUUUGUCUUUCAGAUCGCAUUUUCAUUUUUUUGCACUGGAGUUGACGACUGGAAGUUGUUUAGAUUGAUUUUGUGAUUGAUUUUUUUUUAAAAGCUUCAGAUUAACCCUCAAAGUACGAAGGACAAUUUACAGCGACGUUCAGAAUUCAUAUGCUUUCUAUCACAACAUCUUCAAAAUAUGAUCUUCAAGGAGUUCUAGUGCUUUAAUCCUGCUGGAUUAUACACUAAAGGCUCUGCAUUCUCUAAAUAAACGAGGAAAGGAAUUGGUUCCUUAUCAUUUUUAAUUUGUUGCAGCCAGCCCACAAAAGGUUAAUAGAUGGAUAUGAACCCCUUGGAAAGGCUAACCUUACUGCUACUGAGCAGCAACUAAACAAGCACUCCAGUGUUAUCAGCCCUGACCUGCCUGCACAUUUUGUGGAGAAAACUCUUUGAAAUUAAAUGUUGAAACAUUGAAAUAUUGACUCAGAUCCAUUGGAAGUGAAUAUGCAACUGAGGCUUAUGAACAUUAUUUUUUUACUGUUGGUAACACAGUGCGACAAAGACUAUCUGGAGCCCAGCAAAGGAGCAAAAUUCCAAAUACCCAGAGAAAACUGUUCAAUGAAACUUAACUUGAAGAUAAACAUAACACUUUUUUAAAUGAAUCAGUGCUGCGCUGAGGAGCAGCUGGCCUGGAACAAGAUUCCAGACACUUCAAGCUUCAAAUCACAGACUAUAAACAAUGACUUAUUCUGCCUUUAGAAUUAUAAAGCUUAUUUGUAAAUGUAAGCAAGUUAAACCACAAUUUUGGACAUUUGGGAAUACUUAUAUGAAAUUAUAUUUAAGCAGCUAAAACUGUAUUUCAUCAAAACACUGUUAGAAAGCUCUUUACUCUGUCCCUGAGAUUAUGCUCUGUGAUCGAGGCAUGGUUUUUUAUUGAAUAAUGCAGCAUGGAAACAAACCCUUCGGCCCACUGAGUCCACACUAACUAUCCAUCUCCCGUUCACACUAGUUCUAUGUUAUCCCACUUUUGCAACCACUCCCUACGCAUGAGGAGCAGUUUACAGAAGCCAAAUAACCUACAAACCUGCAUAUGUUUGUGAUGUGGGAGGAAACCGGAGCACCAUGGUGAAACCCAUGUGGUCACAGGGAUAACGUGCCAAC